rnacentral:rRNA from 1 species
GAUUAACGCUAGCGGCAGGCCUAAUACAUGCAAGUCGAACGGCAGCGGGUCCAGCAAUGGAUGCCGGCGAGUGGCGCACGGGUGCGUAACACGUAUGCAACCUACCUUUAACCGGGGGAUAGCCCCGAGAAAUCGGGAUUAAUACCCCAUAACAUUGCGGAAGGGCAUCUUUCUGCAAUUAAAACUCCGGUGGUUUUAGAUGGGCAUGCGCGACAUUAGCUAGUUGGUGAGGUAACGGCUCACCAAGGCUACGAUGUCUAGGGGUUCUGAGAGGAUUUUCCCCCACACUGGUACUGAGACACGGACCAGACUCCUACGGGUGGCAG